AAACCAAGAAAUUUAGUCAUUCUGUUUCGGUAAAAAGACAGUUAAGCAAUAAAAAUAAUCAUUAGACCCUUAAUAUAGAGGUAAAAUUUAUAUAUUAAGAGUUAUACCUAGUGUGAUUUAUUUUAAAUGCUGAAUCUGUGACAACUUUAAGGGAAACUGGGAUUGGAUACCCCAUUAUUUUUAGUAAUAAAUUUAAUUUAGAUUUACCAGAGUACUACGAAUAAAAAGUUUAAAACUCAAAGAGCUUGGCGGUGUUUUAGACCUCUCAGGGGAACCUGUCUCAUAAUCGACAAUCCACGCUAGACCUGACCCUCUAUAGCAAUUCAGCCUGUAUACCGUCGUCGUCAGGUAACUUCUUAAAAUAUAACAGUUAGCUCGAUAAUUUUAUUAAUUGAUACGUCAGAUCAAGGUGCAGCUAAUAAGAGGGAGAGGAUGGGUUACAAUUAUAUAUUUAUAAUUACGGAUGUUAUUUAGAAAUAAAAUACCUAAAGGAGGACUUGAAAGUAAUUUCGAUUAUAUAACUGAAAUGAAUAAGGCUCUGAAACGUG
rnacentral:rRNA from 1 species